CCCAAAUACUCCCGUUUUAGCUUUAACAGCUACAGCAACAGCUAGUGUAAAAGAAGAUGUUGUGCCUUUUUUGUUUGGGGUUUUUGGAUUGCAGAGAUCAAUUUUCGACCUAUGCGAAUGACCAUCCAGCACAGUUUGAGAACUUGGAAACCCAGGUACAUGAAUUUUCAUUUUUUAUGAUUUUGUAUUGACUUAUAGUUGUUCCAAUAUAAUCCCAGUCAUAUUGUUCCAUUUGUAUUAACGCCAUAAUUAUAGUAGUGUGGAGAGGAGAUGCUAGUAUAUACCAUUAUACUUCAAUUUAUCCGUUUUCACUUAUUGUACCUAGUUGCUGGAGGAAUGAAAUGUUAUUAUAUCAGCUAAAUUUAGUAAACAGAGGUUCUUCAUUGUGAGUUUAAUUUAUACACACAAAAACAUCUNNNNNNNNNNNNNNNNNNNNNNNNNNNNNNNNNNNNNNNNNNNNNNNNNNNNNNNNNNNNNNNNNNNNNNNNNNGCAAUAUUUUGGCAGAUUAGAUAAUCGCGGAUUUGGGAUGUUUAUUAGCAGUCUGAGGUGCAGCCGCAUAAGCAGUAGCACCUGAAUACCGUAAGAAGAAGGUACUGAUUUCUAUGAUUUUGGUUUAGGAAGUUAAUCUUGAUUAACUAAUAAGUGCCGAAAUUUGCCAUGGUUGUCAUUACAACAUUGACUUAACACUAUGUCAUAAAAGGCAUGCUCGUGUGGUUUGAUGCUGCGAUCAUGAGUUUAUAUACAACAUAGUGUUAAUUGAAAACCUAGGAUGUUGAGUAGUAUUUGUAUUAGUCUAAACUUUGAAGCACAUAAGGUGGAAAAACAUUAGCAGGGAUUAUAAUGUCUUAUUAAUUGAAAACAUGAAUGAAAUCGUUAACAAACAAAUUAACCGAUAAUAAAUAUCAGAUAUAAUUAUAAUAUAAACUACAAAAUAAGACAUUUAGCCAAACAUUAUAACAAAUAUGACGAUAAAUAUCACAUAAUUAUAAGUCUAUUGGCCUAAAUUAAAUGAAGAUGAGUGUAAACUAAACAUUAUCAAAAACCUCACGAUAAACAACAUUUGUAGUGGUAGUGCAGACUGCACCUUCNNNNNNNNNNNNNNNUUUUGUUUAUAGUCAUUGCUAGACAAAGAGUCAGUGGGAACUGUUUGCGCCUAAAUUUAAAUGGUAGUCCAGGAUCGCUAGGGAUCAAAUUCAACCUUGACACAAAUAUCUUGUCUCCUGCAUUUUUUCCUGUAAUUACUAUUGCACCAAUAAAUUUAUUCCCCAACUCAGUUAUAGUUAGCCUAGUGCCAUUACACAAACCAGCUGCUUGAUCAAUGUUCCUCAUAAGCAUUGCAGGACAACCGACUUUUAGUUUUAACCUGUGAUUAGGAAUUCCUGAACACUUGAUGUCGUUCAAAAAUUCUGGAGUAAACCAGUCAGGCUGAAUUUCUGAAUUUGAAUCUGACUGACAAACACUAUCACAACUCAGAUAUUCUCUCUCAGUACCCGGAAUGAUGGACAUAAGAUAAUCAUUAACAUGUUCAACAGAUUCCAGUGUCGGUGCAAGAAUUCCCCUAUCUUGGAAAUAUGAAGGAUUUUUCAUGUUACUCAAAAGAUCAGGAUAUGUAAAAUUAACCAAAGACAUCAGGGGAUCAUGGCAGUCUUGAAUAAGCAAGUCUUGAGGAAUAUCAAUGACAUAUUGACCAUUCUCAUCGGGACCAGUUUCACCAUUACCAAUAGAAAGUAUCCAAUCUGCAAAGUUUUUUAUUUCUUCUUCCUCAGAUUGAAUUGUGGAAGAGCCUAACCGCAUAUUUUUGGUAAGCCUUAGAACACGACAAUAACUCCAAAGGUCGGAUGAAUUAACUGUCGAGCUAAUAAUGUCUUGCCUAUUUCCCUUUCUGACAACAGGUAAAAUCUGUCUGAAAUCACCUCCCAACACAACUGUCAUUCCACCGAACGGUUUAGUAUUGGCUUCUGGAUUAACAGAAGACAUUAUAUCGCGCAUUGUCCUGUCAAAAGCCUCAAAACAAAACCUAUGCAUCAUCGGUGCUUCGUCCCAUAUGAUAAGUUUAGUUUUCCUAAGAAGUUCAGCCCUUACACUCUUCCAUUUAAUACCACAUGUAGACUGUUCAUUUAACAAAAAUGGGAGAGCGAAAGUAGAAUGAGCUGUUCGUCCCCCUGGCAACAACAACGCUGCAAUACCACUUGACGCCGCAUUAAGAACAAUGGAGCCUUUAGAUCUAAUGGCCGCAGAUAAUGUAUUCCACAAAAAUGUUUUACCAGUGCCUCCAUAACCAUAUAAAAAAAAGAAACCACCAACACCAGUCGAAACUGAAUCCAUAAUCUGGUUAUAAACAGACCUCUGCUCUUGAGUUAGCUUCAGCAACAUUGAUUCAUGUAAUUUGGCCAUUUCCUGUUUGUCAUAGUUUAAUUGAUCCAAAAUUAACUUGUUGUUGGUGUUGAUUGUUUUCAAUAUGUCGGGGUACGGCAUUGUUUUAAAUUUUUUGAGACUCUUCCCAUUUGAUUGAAGCAACUUCUCAACUUCAAUCAAACAUAAAGUCUUCAGAUCAUCAUCGCUGAGCCGAAAAUCUGUAAAUAUUUAACUUAAAUACUUAGAAUUGAAAAGAAUGUUUAAUCAUAUUCGGGAAAAAAGCACAAAAAUUUGAAAAAUAUACUAAAUACGGGUAAAAUACACACCUUGAUUGUGCAGCUGUUUUCUCUUUUCAUACAAAAUUCCAUCGGCCAACAACUUCCAUGUAGCGUUCCAAACAACAAAAGGAUUUGACAUUGUGUUCAUAAUUAAUAAAUAGGCAAAAAAACUUCUUAACUGAUGCCCAGAACCCAACUCACCUAUUUCAGUAAUUGCAUCAAUAAAUUCUCUAUCAUCAUCUAGUAAAUUCAGUUCACCACAUGCCUCUUGAUAAGUAUCAAAUUUUUUGCCAUUAACCGUUUUUAAACAUCUAUAACUCUUACAACCUCGCUGAACAUUCAACAAUAUACGCAUGUAAUGUAAUUGACCUACCCCAGGUGGAAUGUACUGCAGUCGACCCACUUGCUGGCCAUGCUGUCUUGGCUUCCACAUCCUUAAGUCCUUAUGAUACACAAAUUUAGAUGGAAACUCAACAUACGUUAAAUCUCGGCCUUCAGGGUACCGUCUGUUUGCAUCAAACCAGGCAAGAAACAUAGUAUUUCUAUCUUCAUUUCUCAUAACAACAGAAUCAAUGUCGUCAGAUUCUUCAAACAGAAUGGAUUGUUCAUUGGCCAAAUGGAAAGUCAGUUUCAAGACAGAAGGCCACUUCUGGUGAAUAUCAAAAGCUAAAAUCCUCCAAACUGCUUCACAGGGAGAAACAUAUCUACAAUCAUAGUAUUGCUUGAUUUCGUCCACUGGCUUUGAUGUAUCAUUCUUGUCCGAUGACCGCCAUAAUUGCAUCGUCGUCCUAUCAGGUCCUUUGUUGACAUAUUUAAACAAAUAUUUUAUGGAAUUAGACUUGUUACAAUACUCAACGUUAAUGUGACCUGCAUAUCUCAUUAACAGAUGAGGAUUGUAUGGGACAACAUAACGGUUAUCCAACUGCACACCCUUUUUUUCAAUUGACACUCCGGUAUCUCGACGCUUAUAGCGUGGGUAACCAUCUUCGUCAAUUGUGGUGGAGUUUUGAAACUUCUUAGGAAAAUAUUUAGAACAUCCUGUAUCUGUCAUGCAAGGUGACUUACGAUUAACAUCACCACACGGACCAUGAAUCAUGAAAGCAGAUACAGCUUGAGCCAAUCUUGGAUAAAGCGAUUUAUCUGGUAAUUCUGCUGAAAUAACCCUGUCAAUGUCGUUCCCUGUUUUCAGUUUAUUGCGUGAACUCAACCAAAUAAGAAUAUGUGCAUGUGGUAGUCCUCUCUUCUGGAACUCAACAGUAUACAUACCUACAUAAUACAAAUUUUAUACAUAAAUAUCGUGUAUUCAAAUUAUACUAUAAAAAUGUCAAAUAUAAAGACCGCAAUCUAGAUAGAAUCUGUUUAAGUUGAACGUACCAGCAUCAACUUCCCCAAACAACUGAUCUUUUUUUAGGUCAUUCAUCAACCUAUCCAACUUCAUUUUGAAAACACGACAAACAAUAUCUGGUCUGUCAGAUGCCAUCAAGUUCCUGGGUUUCAAAACAUCUUGAAUCUCACGCCAGUUUGAAUUGCAAGUAAUGGUGAUAAAUAAAUCUGGGUAACCAAAUUUUUUGCAAAUUGCCAUGGCAUCCUGACAAUUGUUGAACAUGUAACGCUUUCCACCUGUGAAAGAAGCAGGCAACACAAUUUUUUUACCAAUAUUAGAUGGGUCAGUUUCACCACUGCUAAUAGCUUCUUGUAACCCAGUUAAUAUGUCACAUCUUAUGGUUUUCUGGUUAUCCCUUGCCCAUUGUAGUCGCUGUGAUUCAAACAUAGUAAAACAAUCGACAACAAAUUGUUGGAAAAGUCUCCUUGAUAAGACAAUAUUACCAAAUUCCACAGUUCUAUCUUGUAUUCUAAAAGCAAUGAAUUCUCUCAUGGAUACAUAUUCCCUUUGCCGUGUCUUAUUAAGUUCUUCGGAAGAUCGAAUUUUAAUGUUCAGAUGAAAACCAUCCUCACCAUAUGGAAAUAGAAUAGGGUAUUGAAGUGGUAGAAACAUUGCUUGUGUUUCAUACAAUCUUUGAUACUCCCCACACGAAUUCUUAACAAUAAUGUCUCUACCCUUUUCAAGAUUUUUACAAUCUCCAAUAAUCAAUGCGGCAACCUCGUCACAAGUGGGAAGAUUGUGUGUUCUCGAGUCUUUUGAACGACCGCUGAAUAAUCUUAUGCAAAAGUCUUGACUUCCUCCACGUUCAACAUGGUCCCUUACUUGGCGAAACUUUUUUGCAUAUCGGCUAUGUGCAUCAACCAUUUGUUUGAGUUCUUCAACUAAAUUCACGUCCAGUGCCUUUGAUGGUUCAGUCGAACUGGACAACACAGAUAUAAAAUCAACAAACUGGAUAUUUAUUUAAUUGUAUUAAAAAACUAUUUAUAACUAUAAAUUAUAAACUAACCUGAAGUGCUUCAUCCUGUUCGAAGACUCGUUUUGAGUAUCAUAUAUGUAUAGCUGUGCAAACUUUGGCGUAGAAUUGCAUUGAGGAAGCAAACUGCCAAUGCGAUGGUAAUUUUGACCGCUCAAUAUAAAUUGCCAAGGUCCACCGCCGUCGUUUCUCUCUCGCUCGACCUUUCCACCGAGAGAUGUAUAGGAAAACAUACUGUUAUAGGCCCUGAAAUUCUGAAUAAAAUGGUUGCUUUUCGGAUGUGUACCAUUAAUUAAGUCGAACAAAAGUGCAGGGGGCUUAUCAAGGAAAGGUAUUUGAACAAAGCCCCUCUGACAGCACAAAGAGAACUCGAUGUUACGCGCUGUCAUAUUAAUUUCAGCACGUUCGUCAAACCACAUUCUUGAAAAACACCACUUGCAUUCAAAGGAUGGAUCACCAACAUCAACACAAACUGGAUAAGUAAAAAAAAAUGAAAAAGUAAGCUUGUAAUAAAAGUUAUAAAAUUUAAGUACGUAAAUAAUCAAAUAUAAGGAUGCUGGGUGAUAUUUACUUUCUGCUUCAGCCAUCUCAUACAUCAUUGAUCUAAUUAAUGGGUUUACAUCACGAACCUCAUCGUCUGUUUUAAAAAACAUGUUACAUACAAUCAUUAGUUUUUUGCGUUACAGAAUGAAAAUAGCUCUAUUGUGUACAUAUACAUAUAUAUAGAUUACCUUCAAAUUGAUCAUGUUGUUCGUCAGAAUCAAUCACACAUUCGUCUCCAAAAUCAAUUCUAAGAAUGGGGAUUGAUUUUGGCAAAUUAGAACUACGCAUAUUCGUUAUUGGCUGUGCAUUGCUCGAUGAUGGAUCAAUGACCUCAGAAUUUGGUGUAAGAUUGGUUAAACUACCUAACAAUGUAUUAAAUUGAACGGUAACAAAAAAAAAGUAGUAAGUGUUUAUCGUAAAAUAUUUGGGUAACAAUAACGAUAAUGAAUUAUAAGUAUAUUACCUGUUCCAAAAAAUGGACUUGAACAAACAUUUGACUUCUGUGAUGUUGGUGUUACCAAAUUCAUUGAUGAACCUAAAAAGAACGGUAUGUAUGAAAUUGCAAACUAAUAUAUAUGUUAAGUUUCGACAGAAAAAAAAAGAAUACACUUUUUAAGUAAAUAAUACAAUAUAAAAUACGUUCACCUGUUAAAAUUUCUCCAUUCUUAUUUGUUUGUUCAGAUAAUAUCCUCUUUUGUCUUUUGCUAGCAAGUGUAAUAUUCUGACGAUAUACUUCCGGAUUCUCUUGAACUACACAAAAUUGUGUCAGUAAAUAUGUUAAUUUUUCAUCACAAUCCAAAUAAUUCACGCAUAUACAUAAUUUAUAGAAAAAAAAUGUAACCAUUCGUUAUAUUUCGUAGCGGUGUCCUGUCCGUAUUAGAUACGAUUGUAUUAGAAUUCUCCGACUGAUGAAACUCUGACAAAUUAGUGUGUGAUGCUGGACAUAUAAACAGGGGAAAAGUUGUCAAAAAGAGUAAUAUCAAAGUAUGUAUGACAUAACAAAAUAAUAAUGAAUUUCGACCAUAAAAUAUAAAUUAUUACUUGAUUGCUUCUUUCUCUUAUUCGACAUAAUAUUUCUUCUUUUGUCUCUGGCAGCCUUUGAUAAAACCCUGGUUAUAUUUUUUAGUGUAUAGUGAGGAUCAGACAUUGUAAGAAUUGUUUUCGGUCUAUAACAACAACGUAAGUGGAUGGUUAGUCUGUUUGAGUUUAGCAAUUGAUGGGUAUUUUAUAAUACCCUUUUCAGUAUAAUUAAGUCACCCAAAUUCUCUCUUUUAGUUUCUGAUUUUUUAUAAGAAACACAUGGAAUGAUAUUAAUGCAUAUAAAAUGUGACUUAAUGAAUUCUGAUACGAUCAUGAUCAUAUGAUAAAACCGAAUCAGAUGAGUAUAAAUGCAUACCCUAUUUUCUGAUUUGUUAGUAAAUGUCGAUAUUGUUACCAAACUUAUCUAUCAAUCCCAUUCAUUACACUUAAUUAUCUAAGGAUAUGGCUUUACCACUGAGUAUAGCAGAGGCCAAUAAGGUCAUAUUUUCAAUUGUGAUUUAAAUUUUGUGCAUGAACUUAUUAUUAAGUCAUACCACUUCAAACUUACAACUUUGAGUAUAUAUCAUGACAGUGGCUGAUCACAGAAAGGGCAAAAACACAAUGAAUGAAGUACAAAUCUAUGUUUGAAGCUGCUAGGUCGAAGACCGCUAACUCUCUUCCAGACGGCAAUUCUUCUGCAUGUCAAAGUACUUAAAUGCAAGGUAUUUAAGAGCAAACUUCUCAUUCUUUGUGCUUUCAAACCCAUGUCUGUCGUCAAAUAGUUUUGUCAUUAUCUUUAUAUAAUAAGUAAAACAGUCAAAAUGUUUCAAAAAAAAAUUAAAACAGUCAAAAGAAUCAAGGAAACUGCUCAAAUUAGUCAAAUCUGAUGGAAACUAUUUUUAGGUUUUGAAUGAAAUGAGAAGUCUGAAAAAAGACAAUAAUUUUUUGGAAACAUAUUAUUAAAAUAUAACGUUAUUUACACUUGUUUUAAAUAUAUGUUUAGUCCUGAAAAUUUUAGCGAUAUUUGGUUUCAGUCCCUCUAAGUUUUAUUUGCUUUGCUUCCUUGCAAAGUCAAAAUUGUUUACUUUCGGUCUCUUGUCAUUUCUCCAUUAAAAAAAGAUGUGGCAAACAACAGUCUAUAUGGAGUUGGCAGUUGACGACUCAACACUUAAUUCUUAUCUAUAUCUCACCUAUUAUUUUAGCUUAAGUUUUUAUUAAACAAAACUAAAAUUAGAUUAGGGUUCCACACCGUCCUUUCUCCCAAACUGAAGUUGUCUUCACUCCUCUCUCUCUCCCCAUAGUAUUUGAAUAUGUAAGAUAACAUGAAUAUAUGUUAAAUGCAAAGAAUGCAUUUACAGUAAUUAACACUGAAAAAAGUACCUCAACGAAAGGAGAUAACGUGUUCAUUCCCAUUAGUUUGUAAAUCAACAACACUGCUGAAAACUCCUCACAAGAAUUAGCAAUAUUUCUCAAAUUUACACACACACACGCACCCCUAUAAAUAUGUGUGUGUGUGUAUUAUCCAGAAAUUCAGCCAAGACAAUUCAAUAAUACAUCCACUGUGCAUAAAAUAAAAUAGUAACAACAACCAUACAACAUAAACGGUAAAAAUCAUUAAUAACUGAAAAUAAAAAUCAUUAUUAACCAUAACUGUAAAAAAUAUUUCAAACAAUAAAACCAAAACAACCUUAAAUAUCCAAAAUUAUUCCAAAAAAAAAACGAAACACAAAAACUGUAUCCAACAUACGAAAUAAAUCGUGUUCUAAAACAAAAGACAAUAUGUCAUAAGCAGUUCUCAAUUAUCCUUCAUUGUCUCCUCUUCCAAUCAUUUUUCUAAUAAUCAAUUUCAUUUGCACCGAAUUUGCCAAUAAGCACCGGAUCAUCAAACAUCCUUUUCACAAUGUAAUUCUUAGCAGUCUCAUUGAUAUUGUUGUGUUUGACAUCUAUCAUGAAUAAAAAGCUCUUGUUAACAAUGGCAGAUAUUGCUGAAGGUAUGUUAUCCUUAGCUGCAAUUGACUGAUACAAAAAUAAUAAACGUAAAAACAUAUAAGUUAAUCAAUUUUGAAAUCAUGCGACCUAAAAAUGUGAACAUGGAAUCAAUUUAAACCAUUUAGUAUGUAUAAUCUCACCGUUCCUUGAGAUAGAACCAUAUCAGAGCAUGAUACCCUAAAAAAACCCCGAGCAGCCUUGUCAAACACAUUAAAAGUUCCAGAGUUGUUGCUAUCAUCAACUUUGAUAUCGAAUCUAUAUCUGUAAGUAUAAAGAAAACUUAUAUUGUUGAUAAAAAAAUUUAAAAUGGUAAAUAUUGAAUUAAAAAAAGAAUAUACUGUUUAGAAAUAUAUAUGUGACCACCUUGGAAUCACUUGGAGAUUGUGACGAUUACAUGCUUGACAUAAGUAAACACCAUCUGAAGGUAUAACCUUUUGCAUGCAACGACAACAUGAUCCAUACCACCAGCCACUUUCCAGAACAACUUCUUUUAUAGUACCAAGGACAACAUAUGUUGCAGGCUGGUAUAAACAAAAAGUAAAUCUUCCAACAUUUAAUUUAAAUUUUAAAAUAAAAACAACUAUAUGUAUUUAGUUAUAAUAAAUGACAUUAGUAUAUUAUUUUUAUAUACAGAUCGUAGUAAUUUAUAGAUGUUUACCACAUCAGUGACGGCAAGACCACCAAUAGUCGCCUUAGGAGUAAUACUAAGUACAUGAUCUUCAUGAGCUAACAUAUCUGAAUGGCUCAAAAUCUUAACUUCUGGGAUAUCUUCAGGUUUUUCGAAUUUGUAAUCUUUUAUUACAUCCUGAAUGAAGAAUGUUUUCUUAACCUUUGAGAACUCAUUAAAGGUUAGAUGAUAUCCAUGUGAAGUGGUUCUGAUAGGCAUUACAUUCACAGAUGCAUUGAGAUUGGCAAAAAUAUAAAUUUCACCUUCCCUAAUAUGUGUAUGGAACAUAUUAUAAAGGGAUCUAGGAACUGACACGCCUAUUUUGUUACCCUGUUAGAAAAAAAUGAUUUUAUAUUAGUAAACAUAUUACAUAACUAUAUAAAUCAGUAAAAAAGAAACCACAAUAAUAUGGUGAAAACCAUGAAAAUACCUUUGAGUCCAUUACAAUAAGUUCAAUAGGGCAUGGUGGGUGUUGGUUAUUAAUAUCAUUAACACACCAUAACUUAAUAAUACAUCCAACAACACACCAUAAAUCCUUUUGUGUACUGACUUUAUCUAUCGAAUCAUAAAAAUCAGACAUUGUUGAUAUUUUUACCUUUGAUGGAUGAUAUUUUGAAUGAAAUUUUGAAUGAAAUGAGAUAUGAUUUUGUUAGCUCAUCAUGAUGAGUAUAUAUAGAUAUAAAAAGUUGUAUACAUAAUGGAAUGUGUAGUAAUGAGAAAUUAAAAUCAUCUAAUAAGUUUUAUCCAAAAUGCAAUUAGAUCCACUUUUUUUGGUGUCAGCAUGUAAAUUAUUGAUAUUUCGAGAUUAAGCGGAUGAUAUUGUGAAUUGUCAAUAAAUUGGAACCUAAUGUUGUUACCUUUUUCUAAUGAGUAUGAGUAUUAUAUAGAAUAUAGAAUAUAUAGAUAUAUAGCUAUAUAUAGAUAUAAAAAGUUGUAUACAUAACAAAUUUUAUUAAUGAGAUAUUAAUGUGAUUUAAUAAGUUUUUCCCACAGUAGAAUUAGAUCCCCUGAUUUUGGUGUCAGCACGUAAAUUGUUGAUAUUCUGAGAUUAAGUGGAUUAUAUUGUGAGAUUAAUGUUUUAAUAAGUUUUAGCACAGGUGAAUUUAGAUCCCCUUAUUUUUGUGUCAACACGUACAUGAUCUUAUAUGAACCUAACUUGGUCUAAGUAUUUAUACAGUACAAAAAUGUACAGCAUAUAUAGACUAUAGAAUGAGAUAUAUUAAAUAUAUGAGGUUUUUUUUUAAUAUAAAUAUAUUAGAAUAUUAGAAUUGUGUAGUUUGUUUAUAUAUUGCUUAAAUGAGCCUAAUUGUAUUAGUCGUAUGCUUUACCCAAGGAUUUUUUUUUAUAAAAUCGUUUAAAAUUUAUUUUAUAUGGUGUCUAAAGUGAAACUUUUUAGUAGAGUGUUACAUUUGAACUGGACCUAAGAUGGAUUAAAUUAAAACGUUCUAACUCGUAUUUUUAUUUUACACGGCAAAAAAAAAAAUUAUAACAUUCUACCUAUUUUACUCGUAUUUUUUUUUAAAAUAAUCACGUGUCAUUUUUUUUCUUCUAAUUAAAAUUUAGAUGCUGGCGUCAUGUGUCAAAUAUUUUUUUUUUUAAAAUAAUCAUGUCAUGCAGUACAUGACUAAAAACUAAAAAUAAGUAGCUUCUACUAAAGUUAAUUUCACCAGCUUCUAGUGCAUCUCACACAGCUUUUUGACAUGAUCAUCCUUCGAGACCCAUCCAUGCCAAACUAUUGAAUUUCGUUUAUUUUUUUAAUUUAUAGUCAUUUUUACUUUUUGCAGUAAGAUUAGUAGUAAAAUUCUCAUCCCAUAAGUGGCAACCACAUAAACAAAAGUACUGAUAUAUGAAAAUACUGACACAUAAACAUCGUUCAUAUACGGAAAUAAUAUGAAAAUACUGAACAAUUAAAAAUUACCACAUAAACAAAAAUAAUCUUCAAAACCCAGUUUUGAGAACCGGAGAAAAUCAAACUGACAGCAUUAUUAUUCUAUAGACUGAAGACGUUUGAAUGAUUGAAUGAGUGCAUCAUCGUCCGUGACUUUUGAAACUGGAUAAUACUUGUCAGCAUCAUCUUCUGCACUUACUUUGGUAAAAAUCAUGAAUAAAUAGCAUUUCCCCACCAUAUUUGAAAAUGACUCAGGUACAUAGUCAGGCACUGCAUCCUAUAUUUAACAAAAAUAUUGACGUAAUUAGAUUAAAAAACAAACAUUUGGUUUUAGUGGUAUAUGUUCAAUGCAACUUUUUUAUUUUUUAUAAUUUAUAUCACCUUUCCAUCAUAUUUCAGCAUUUGACUGCAUGACAUUCCAAAAAAUUCUGCCGCCAUACGAUCAUGCAUUACAAAUGCAGCCGAUCCCGUGGGGUCACUCACAUGAAGCCUUAUCAUAUAUCUAUAAGUAAACAAUACAGAAAACUAAUUAUAAGUCAUGCGCGCAACCAUUUAAAAUCGCAACUUUGCUAUUAGUAUGUUUUGAAAAAUUACCUGUAAUUGACCAUCAAAACAUGCCUAUUACACCUCUCACAAUAAUACUUGUGACCGUCAGGAAUCACUUUCAUAUUGCAUACACAGGAUAGAUACCACCAGUGACAAUCAGGUUCAAACGGUCCAACUUUGGCAAAUAUGACAUACAUUGACUCCUAAAAAAUUUAAGUAUAUUAAUCCGAUGUACUUUAUAUUACUUAUUAGGUGCAUAUAAAUCAUUGGCCGUGACAGUUACCGAUGCGCAACUACGUAUAUCAUAUAUAGUAGAUCUCUUGUUUGAGUACAACCAAUCUUUUGAUAUAUGCAUUUUUGUAGUUUCAUUCAUGUCAUAUACUCCAUUGCAUGGUGAACAUGUGAUGUCCGACAUCCUGUAGAUCCAAAUUACGUUUUAUUUUGUCAUUAAAACAUAAGUUGGAUGACGACUACAUAUAUAAACAAUUGUAAUUAUGAGGAAUUUAAACCUUUGCUUUAAAUCUAUAGCUGCGUCGUAAUUUGGAUUGAAUAUCAACUUUGUAUACUUCCCAUAGUUAUGAACAGUAGGUAUACCUGAAGUUUUAUACGUUAGGCUUUCGAAAGCAAUUAAAUUUAAAAAUUAUGUUUGAAAUGGUGUAGUAUUACCUUUCCAAUAAUUCAUCUUGCCAAGAAACAAUGCAACACAGACAUUGUCUGACGAUUCAGAUAGUAAAAACUCACUCAACUGGUCAACAAAAGCUCCAUGUAGGAUACACUUAUAACGAUAUCUAACCAAAAACACAAACAAAUAUAUAAUUAUUUUGAAUCCAUUAAUUAAUUAAAUAUCUCUAUUACAAAAUUAUAAGUUUUUGAGAUAAAAACAAACCCAUUAUUGGCUAAUUCCAUUGACACAACUUUUUUCAUUUCACCCUCAAUGAAAUAGUCGUCUUCAAAUUCAACUUUAGACAACAUCCCAAUUACAUCUUAAAAACACAAGUAAAUUUCGUCAUAUAAACAAAUAGUAUAUAAAGUGUAUAAUUAUAUCUAUAAUUUAAUUGAUACUUACCGACCAAAUUUUCUGACCUAUAAUUCUUUGAAAGAAAUGACGCAGGGUGAGUGAAAAAAUAUGAGUAUACAGGUACAUCGUCAUCGUUAACCAUUUUGAUCCUAGUAUGGUCAGUGAAGUUGAGAAAAUAUGUGUGAUGUGUUGUCUUGACCUCUAGCUGGUUAAGUGUAACAUUAAAAUUGUACAUAAUGUAAGCACUAUCUUCUUUCAAGUAAUGAUGGAAUUUUGGAAUCAGAUCCCUACCAAUGUGUGCAUCUAUUUUAUGACCCUUUGCAAAAAAGUUUAAUAAUCAAAUCAGUCACGAACUGCAUAUAGAGAAAGAAAAUGCUAUAUCAUUCAAUUAGCAUAGAAACAGUUACUGCAAAAAAAUCAUAAAACUCACGUAGUUAUCCUGAAGGACCAAGUCGAUUUUCAAAGGCAGACCAUCCCAAUUUGAAUCUGUUGAUUUCCACAUUCUAAUAAUUCUUGCGAAAAAACACCAUUUGUUCUUCUGAUUGUUAAUCUCAAUAAUCGAUUCAUAAUCCUUCACCAUGUUGUUACACCAUUCAAGCAUGUAAUAAGUCAUAUGAUCGUGGCUUAAAAUCUUGAUAUAUAUACACAAAGAAUCAUAGUAGUACUCCAGCUUUGUUAUUCCUUAAUUGGAAUUACGAAAUAAUAAGUAAUAAGUAAUAAUUAAUAAUAAUAAUAAUAGCUAUACAUUUAUUUGAAACAGAUUUACCGAUUUACCGAAAUAAUAAGUAAUCAUGAUAAUAGUUGUAUCAUUUAAUUGUAAUAUAUGUAAUUUAAUAUAUAUACUUUAAUAGCAUGAUGCUAAUCCUGCGUGGUUAAUGGUAAUGUAGGUUGGCAAGGUGAGCAUUAUGAUUAUCAUAUUUUACAAAAGUAAUAGAAACAUCUCACAUGUGUCAAAGCUGGUUUAGACAAAUCUAUAAACAUGGAAGGUCAGUAACCCUCAUAUUGUUAGUACUUUAUUUAAUUAAAACUGAAUUAAUAUAUAUAUAUAUAUAUAUAUAUAUUAUUUUCGCAAUUAUGAAUAGAGAAAUAUCACAUGCAUAUAUUUGGAAUAUAUUUAGAAAUUGCUGAUCAAAUAUGAUUAUAUGAUUAUUGCUUUAAAUAUUGUCAAUACUACGGUAAAAAAAUUAAAGAAUUGGAUUACUAUAUUAUUGUUGACUAUGUACAAUGUACUGCAUCUAAAUUGUUGAUCAAAUAUGAUUAUUGCCUUAAAUUCUGUUCGAUACUACAGUAAACAAAAUUAAAGAAUUAGAUNNNNNNNNNNNNNNNNNNNNNNNNNNNNNNNNNNNNNNNNNNNNNNNNNNNNNNNNNNNNNNNNNNNNNNNNNNNNNNNNNNNNNNNNNNNNNNNNNNNNNNNNNNNNNNNNNNNNNNNNNNNNNNNNNNNNNNNNNNNNNNNNNNNNNNNNNNNNNNNNNNNNNNNNNNNNNNNNNNNNNNNNNNNNNNNNNNNNNNNNNNNNNNNNNNNNNNNNNNNNNNNNNNNNNNNNNNNNNNNNNNNNNNNNNNNNNNNNNNNNNNNNNNNNNNNNNNNNNNNNNNNNNNNNNNNNNNNNNNNNNNNNNNNNNNNNNNNNNNNNNNNUAUCAUCUUCUCCUUGAGUAUGGAAAAAUCAUCAACCUCACUAACAUGCCUCUUGUCAGAAUCGGUAGCAAUCAUCGAUACAUAUUUCUAAUAUAUAGAUAUAUAUUCCCCAAUAUUCAACCAAGCCAAAUAAACCACACAUAUAAAAAAUUAGCAUAAACAACAUAGCAAAACUAAACUAAUUAACAAAAGUCAAUCGACAACAAAUAUCCAAAAUUACAUCAAACAAUCAAACCAAAACAACCGUAACAAUCCAAAAGUAAUGCAAAACACAACCAUAAAAUUCCAAAAGUAAUGCGAAAAUCCCGCGAAAAUAAAUUAUCCAACAAAGCAAAUAAAGUGUAUCAUAGAACAUAUAGACUGAAUGACUUCAAUCUUUCUCAAUUUUGACUUGUUUGAUCACUGGCUCCAUAUUGGGUCCAUCGGAAGUUGAUGCUACAAAAGAAAAGUCUCUCUUUGUUGUUUCCACGUCAUGGAUGUCGGUAGUGAGAUCUAUAGUAUCUGUCCCGGUAUCCACUCCUUGAUCAGUAAAUUUGGCCAUCAAAUCCUGCAUUUAUUCAUAGUAANNNNNNNNNNNNNNNNNNNNNNNNNNNNNNNNNNNNNNNNNNNNNNNNNNNNNNNNNNNNNNNNNNNNNNNNNNNNNNNNNNNNNNNNNNNNNNNNNNNNNNNNNNNNNNNNNNNNNNNNNNNNNNNNNNNNNNNNNNNNNNNNNNNNNNNNNNNNNNNNNNNNNNNNNNNNNNNNNNNNNNNNNNNNNNNNNNNNNNNNNNNNCGGUAUCCACUCCUUGAUCAGUAAAUUUGUCCAUCAAAUCCUGCAUUUAUUCAUAGUAAGGAAAAAAAUUAAGAUAUAUUAACAAUAACAUUUACAGAUACAGACAGAUAUAAACAUGAAUUAAAGUUAAUAUACCUGAGCAACAUAUUCUACAUUAGAUUCAUCACCUUCAACAUCAACUUCAACAACCUUUCCAAUGGAAACCUCCUCAGAAACUGAAUUAACCUAUGAGUUGAAUUCAAAUUAUAAUAAGGCAAGGAACUACCAAAAUUUAAUAAUAAUAUAUACAUAUAAAAUUGUUUAUACUAUUAUACCUUAGGAAUAGCAUUUUUGGCAUUAAAAGCAGACACAAGUUCAGGAUCGGCAGUCAUCUUCUUCACCCGAUAUGAUUUUUCAUAUCUGGUCUCCUCACUAAUAUUUGUCUCAACCUUGAAGAGGUAAGUCUUAUCUACCAAAUCAAGUAUAAGUUUUGGGAUUCCAGUAUCAUUUGCAUCCUAUUUCACAAAUUAAAAAUAGAAAAUCAGUAUACAAAACUGAAGUCAAUUAUAAUUAACAUAAUUGGAUGUACUAAUUACACAUGAGAAUAGCUUAUAUACCAAUCCGACCGAUUCAAUCAUAUCAGCACAGGUCAUGUUCAACAAAUCAACACCAUCACGAUCAAAAAUCACAAAUGUAGCGGAAUCGGUUGAGUCAAUGACCCUUACCUUUAUCCUAUAUCUAUAAAUAUUAAGAAAAAGUAGUCAGAUAAAUACUAAUACAUACUUAACAAUGAAACAAAAGAUAUAAUUAAAAGAUAUGACUUGUUAAUUUACAUAUAAUACCUUGGCGUAACAUUGAGAACGUGUUUGUUGCAUUUUUCACAAAAGUACAUCCUCUCAUCGGGAUAUACUUUUUUGUUACAUAUGCAGGCAGUAUACCACCAAUCAUUAUCAUCGACAAUGACUUUGAUUGUUGCACAGACAACAAAGACACCCUCCUAUACAUUAUAGAUUAUUUAGUAAACGAUAACGGGAUGAAUUGAAUAAGGAAUCUUAAUUUUAAUUUAGGGAGAUAACAUUACCACACGGGAUUCUUUCAAGCCCUCAAUUGUUGAACAUGAAUUUAGUAGUAUAAAGUCUUCCAUGAGGGAAAUCUUUGAAUUGUCUUGAAGGCGAGAUAUACCCGGUGAAGGGGUAUCCUUGUUAUCAAUCAUCCUAAAUGUGAAAAAACAUUAGUUAUUAAUUUGCAUGACUGAUAUAAGUUUCAUAUCGUUUAGUUAUGUAAAAACAAAAAGUUACCUUUUCUUUAGGUCAAUGGCAGCAGAAAACACCGGGUUGAAUAGUAUUUUUGUAGAGUAUAUAGUAUUUUGAACGGUUGCCCUACCUGUAUUGUAUUUUGAAGAGUAUAUUGUAUUUUAAGUGAUGAUCAUAUUAAAAUAUAUUUUUAAUAUCAUUAGGUAAAUCGGAAAAAAAAUAAAAAAUAAAACAGGACAUAUUGAUUUGUGAGUCACCUUGAAAUAUCUUAACUUUAGCCAAAAGAAUGACCAUGACAACAUUUUCAGUCUCUCCUGAUGCAAUAUAGGAAUUUAGCACGUCGACGUACGAACCAAAUAAGGUACACUUGAAUUUAUAUCUGCACAAUAACAACAACCUUAAAAUUAAAAAAAUAUAAGACAUAAAUCAUAAUAAACCAUAAUAAACAAUGAAUCAUAAAGCAUACCCAUCAUGGUCNNNNNNNNNNNNNNNNNNNNNNNNNNNNNNNNNNNNNNNAAUACAAAUUCGGUGGGACAAAACGAUUUUCAGACAAUUUUAAUCUAGUUGCAAAUUGAAAAUUGAGCUUGUACAUAUGUCUCGUAGUUCUAUACGAACCAAUGUUCGCAGCAACACCAAAAUUGGAAAUCAUAAAUACAUUGUCCUCCUUGAGAUCUUUCUCAAACUUAUAGAUCAGUGUCCGACGUACAGUUGCGUGAAUGCGAUCACCCUAUGAAAAACAUAAAACUUAAAAAAUCAAAAUUGUAUACCGUAAAAAAUAUAUAUAUAUAAUAAUAAUAAUAAUAAAUAAACAUCAAUAAUUUGUAAAAUNUUUAGCAUCCAUGAGCACCAUCUCCAUUGAGAAUGGCAGUUUAUCUUUCGCCAUAUCUUUGACAUACCAAAGACGGACGACUCUGACGAUUAUGUUCCAAUUCUCCUUAGCAGGUGUGAUUUCAGAAAUUGAAUCGUGUUUUGGUGCCAUUGGAAAUAGGAAAAUGAAAAAAGAAAAAAAUAGUAGUAAGCUGAAGAAAACAAUAAACGUAUGUUAGUUUUCUAGGAGAUGUAGAAUGUUUGUUAAGUCUUCACGUUUAAAUAGAAUUAAAGGUUGAGCAAUUCUAGUGUCUGCAUAACUUAUUGCCUAAUUUUUAGGAUCGGGAUUUGUGGGAUAUAAAUCAGUUUAGGAAGGAAAUUAUUGAAUAUUGUAAUAUUGUAAUAUUGUAAAAAAAAAUGUGUACGUUAAAAAUAUUUAUAUUUUAUGGGGAAUGGUUUACUCAUUAUUUUCUUCUUCUAUUAUUUUAAUUACCAUAUAUACAAAAACUAUCAUUAAUAUUAUUAGUCAAAAUUGAUGCGAUCCUUAAUAAUAGUAAACGAUAACAUGAUAUGGACAAAUUCACUAUUAAAUGGUAAAUUGAUGGGAUCCUUAAUAAUAGUAAAGGAUAACAUGGAAAAAUUCACGUUUAGUUUUAAUACAUACACGUUAAAAUGGUUAUCAUACACGUUUUAAUAGCAAAUUAAAUAAUAGCAAAUGAAAACUAAAAGAUGGGAUUCUCAUCAAUUUACCAUUAAAACUAAAAGAUAAUCACGUACAGCUAUUAUUCUUAAUAGUGCAAUUUCUGAGAGAUAAAAGUGAGGAUAAUAAGUAAUCAUGAUAAUAGCUGUAUCAUUUAAUUGGCAAGAUAAUUGGAGAGAUAAACGUAAUGUGUAUAUUGUUGCAUCAAUAGAAAAAAAACGUAAUGUAUAUUGUUGCAUCAAUUAUUUAAUAGCUGUAUCAUUUAAUUGGCAAGAUAAUUGGAGAGAUAAACGUAAUGUGUAUAUUGUUGCAUCAAUAAAAACCAAUCAACAAAAUAAGAAUUGGAGAGAUAAACGUGAGGAAUUGGAGAGAUAAAGGAGGUAAGAAAUUAUUGUGAGGAAUUAAAUGUGAGGAAUUAAAUGUGAGGAAUGAGGUUGAAUGAGGAGAGGAGAGAGAAAGGGAAAUAUGUCUGGCUUAUUACAUAUUAUAGAUUUCUAUUACAAACUGUGCAGAGCCUAGUUAGUGGUUACUCUUACUCUAUUUAAGUUUCAUUGCCCCAGGUUCCACUUUUUUAUUAAAAACGUUGGUAUCAUUACCUUAGUAGCUCCAUGUGUCAUAAGCCGUCAUGUGUACCUCUCACUAGUAGAAAAAAGACUUUUGGAUAAGAGAUUCCACUACUGAUAUAUGAAUACCAGUAGUGAAACACAUUUGACCAAAGGAUUCCACUACGGAUAUUUGAAUACCAGUAGUUAAAAGUUCAUAGACAAGGGAUUUCACUACUGGUUUUCUUAAAUCAGUAGUGAAAAGUUGACAGGGUGGCAACUGGCAAUGUUGUAAUUAUAUUGAAAUUUGUUUUAAUUGGAUUUCACUACUGUUUUUGUUUAGACGGUAGUUAAAUCCCUUAACUUGUAACAAAAAAAAAAAACUCCCUUAACNNNNNNNNNNNNNNNNNNNNNNNNNNNNNNNNNNNNNNNNNNNNNNNNNNNNNNNNNNNNNNNNNNNNNNNNNNNNNNNNNNNNNNNNNNNNNNNNNNNNNNNNGUUAGGGUUUGUAUCGGUUAAUUGUUUUGGAAUUUGUCUCGGAUCUGAACCUAAUAUGAUUCAUAGCUUGUAUUAGAAAUUCGUAAUCGUUGAUUAGGUUUUGUUUGUAUCUAGUUCAUGAUACUUUUAUUUCUGUUCCCUGGUGUCAUCAUUUAAAAACAUUUUACUGGUUCAUUAUAAGAUAUUUUUCUGAAGAAACAUUAAACCAUUAUAUAACAAAAACAAAAUUGUUGAAUUUGGAACAUUAUAUAACAAUGUUCUGUGCCUCUAACUAGUUUUAACUAUGUUCAGGUAGAAAUUGUCGUUCUUUCUAAUCCUAUACUAAGACCUCAGAUACUGAAUUUAAUGGUCUCAUAUUGGCCCUAGCAUACCGUCCUUCAUUUGGGAUUACUAGCUUCGUUUCCUAUGCGAUAUCCACUAGGUCCUUAGAUUUUAUUCUAAUGUGGUCAAUAUUAAAAUAAAUAUAAAAUCAGGCGAUAAAAGAGUUUGAAAGUAGAAAUAAUUGAAUUUAUACCCAAAUUAUACAAAACCAAGCAUUCGUAAGGGAGUUUCUCUACUCCACCACUAACCUAGGAAAAAUAAAUUACAAAGACAGAAAGAAAAUAACCUUAUUGGCCUUGGAGUUCCUUGGCCUCCUCCUUAGAGUUCUUCUAACUCUAGAGUGAAUAUUCAAUGUCUCUGAAUAUUUCUGAAUAUUUUUUUGAAUGAAUAAUAGUGGAGGAGGAAUGCUCUAUUCAUAAUUUUUCAUUUGGGUUUUGGGUUUUUCUGCGCGUCCAUCGCACCCAUCGUGGCCACGAUGACAUGUAAUUUUUCCUUAUCGUGGCCAUGAUGGAUCAUAUCGUGGUACGAUGGAAGAUUUCCUCAAGAUUUUCUGUGUGCUUUUGUCGUCAUCAUCGUGCCACGAUGACAGUCAUCGUGGUACGAUGGGAAAGAUUUGUUGCAGAUUUUCUUCAAUUUAAACCGUCUUCUCAUCGCGCCACGCCGGAUCUCAUCGUGGGUACGAUGGUGCGCGUUGUUUAUUAAGUUUUUGCCCUUUUUUGCUACUUUUUCCAUUUUUCUUGUUUAUGGGCUAAGCAACUUCACUUUUCCAUGUAUUUGCUCUCUUUUGGGCUUCAACUACUAUUAAAACCACCCUAAAUUACUACUAAAAACAUCAUAUAAUUGACUGUCAUCACUUCUAAAUAAAAAUUUGAAUAUUAGAACAUAUUAAAAAAGUUUAGUUCCGGGAACCCUGGAGUCGGAGUUUGAACUCUGGACAUUCUACUUAUUCAAUGUGGAUUCUAGCUACUAAGAUAUCCGAUUUAAAAAAAUUAUAACCAUAUAUAUGGGACAAUAACUUUAGUGAAACAAAUUUAUUAAUUUAAUAAAUUUUACAAUUUGUUUUUGAUAAAUUAAGAGCAUCUAGACAUCAAGGUAGGGAUAGACAUCCAACUUUGUUGGCAUUCCUAUCUUUCCCCUUAUCUUUUAAAAGUUUCAAGUUGGUCCCUUAUCUUUUCUGUAGGUUUCAUUUUGGUCUAUUCCGUCAAAUUUUUCACUAUUACCGUUAAAUUUGGAAAGAUGACACGUGUCCAAAUUUAACGGUAAUAGUGAAAAAUUUGACGGAAGGGACCAACUUGAAACCUGCAGAAAAGAUAAGGGAUCAACUUGAAACAUAUUUAAAAGAUAAAGGACCAACUUGAAACCUAAAAUAAAGAUAAGGGACCAAAAAUGCAAUUAAGCCUUAAUUAUACUACAAGUAGGGUUUUAAAAUCUCUGUUAUUUGAUCACUUGCAUUAAUAUUUUCUCCAUUAUAUUUUUAAAGUAGAGUUUUUUUAACUCAAUAAUGUUUGUUUAUGUAGGAAAUUUCGUUAGCAGUAGCCCGUUCAUCUACCGAACAAAUCCUAACCACAAAAUCAUACAAAAUACCAAAAACACUCCAAAAUCAAACAGAAAUUCCAUUAGAUUGCAAUGGAUACAACCACACAGGAAAAUGUCCUAAUCACCAAAUCUCAUUAAACAAUCAAGACCAUCGAUCUAAUUCCACGUGUCCAGAUUACUUCCGUUGGAUCCACGAAGANNNNNNNNNNNNNNNNNNNNNNNNNNNNNNNNNCUUGAUGGUGGUGUUGAUCCUCCACCACUCUUUCGAUAUUGCGGCAAUGAUGCAACUUUGGAUAUUGUUUUCCCUGAUUGGUCCUUUUGGGGAUGGUAAGUAAUUAAAGAUUAUUUCACUUUUUUUUUUACCCUAGUUUGUUUGGGAUCACAGUUUCAUGCAGUCAAGAAUAUCGUCUUUAAA
rnacentral:lncRNA from 1 species